GCUGACAGUCAUACCACCCUGAGCGUGCCCACUCUCAUCUGAUCUCAGAAGCUUAACAGGGUCUGGCUUGAUUAGUACUUGGGCGGCUGUAGCUCAGGAGUUAGAGCAGGUCAUCU
rnacentral:rRNA from 1 species